UACGUAGGGUGCAAGCGUUAAUCGGAAUUACUGGGCGUAAAGCGUGCGCAGGCGGUGAUGUAAGACAGAUGUGAAAUCCCCGGGCUCAACCUGGGAACUGCAUUUGUGACUGCAUCGCUGGAGUACGGCAGAGGGGGGAUGGAAUUCCGCGUGUAGCAGUGAAAUGCGCAGAUAUCAGGAGGAACACCGGUGGCGAAGGCGAGUCCCUGGACAACUUCUGACGCUGAGGCACGAAAGCUAGGGGGAGCAAACAGG
rnacentral:rRNA from 1 species